CACGAACGCUGGCGGCGUGCCUAAUACAUGCAAGUCGAGCGGAUGACGGAGGAGCUUGCUCCUCUAGAUUCAGCGGCGGACGGGUGAGUAACACGUGGGCAACCUGCCCUGUAGAUUGGGAUAACUCCGGGAAACCGGGGCUAAUACCGAAUAAUCCUUCGGACCUCAUGGUCCGAUGUUGAAAGACGGUUUCGGCUGUCACUACAGGAUGGGCCCGCGGCGCAUUAGCUAGUUGGUGAGGUAACGGCUCACCAAGGCCACGAUGCGUAGCCGACCUGAGAGGGUGAUCGGCCACACUGGGACUGAGACACGGCCCAGACUCCUACGGGAGGCAGCAGUAGGGAAUCUUCCACAAUGGACGAAAGUCUGAUGGAGCAACGCCGCGUGAGUGAAGAAGGUUCUCGGAUCGUAAAACUCUGUUGUGAGGGAAGAACAAGUACCGGAGUAACUGCCGGUGCCUUGACGGUACUUCAUUAGAAAGCCACGGCUAACUACGUGCCAGCAGCCGCGGUAACAC
rnacentral:rRNA from 1 species